rnacentral:ncRNA from 1 species
GGCGUUGUAUCACUCCACUAUAUGGACAGCGUGCAUGAUAAAGAAAAGGAGAAGACCCGCAUGGCUCGCGGUGCGGCAGUGUGGAGACCUGUCGUAAUGCAUUUACUCUUUUACCGGGUACUUGUGAGGCGCUCGUUAGCGGAGGCUGGGGCGUUCAGAGUCAAAAACUAUGUC